rnacentral:rRNA from 1 species
GAGUUUGAUCUUGGCUCAGAUUGAACGCUGGCGGCAGGCCUAACACAUGCAAGUCGAGCGGUAGAGAGAAGCUUGCUUCUCUUGAGAGCGGCGGACGGGUGAGUAAUGCCUAGGAAUCUGCCUGGUAGUGGGGGAUAACGCUCGGAAACGGACGCUAAUACCGCAUACCGUCCUACGGGAGAAAGCAGGGGACCUUCGGGCCUUGCGCUAUCAGAUGAGCCUAGGUCGGAUUAGCUAGUUGGUGAGGUAAUGGACUCACCAAGGCGACGAUCCGUAACUGGUCUGAGAGGAUGAUCAGUCACACUGGAACUGAGACACGGUCCAGACUCCUACGGGACGGCAGCAGUGGGGAACU